rnacentral:rRNA from 1 species
AGAGAGAGACAUGCGGCGCAUAUCAAUAAGCGGAGGAAAAGAAACUAACAAGGAUUCCCCUAGUAACGGCGAGUGAAGCGGGAAGAGCUCAAAUUUGAAAUCUUAAAGGGUUUCCCUUUACGAAUUGUAGUUUAAAGAAGUGUUUUCUGUUGAGGUUUUGGUAAAAGUUCUUUGGAAUAGGACAUCAUAGAGGGUGAGAAUCCCGUAUUUGACCUUUACUUUCAACUUUGUGAUACACUUUCAAAGAGUCGGAUUGUUUGGGAAUGCAGUCCAAAAUGGGUGGUAAAUUUCAUCUAAAGCUAAAUAUUGGCGAGAGACCGAUAGCGAACAAGUACCGUGAGGGAAAGAUGAAAAGAACUUUGAAAAGAGAGUUAAACAGUACGUGAAAUUGUCAAAAGGGAAGCGUUCGACACCAGUGUUGUUUUUCUGAAAAUCAAUUAAAGAACUGUUUAUGCUAAGUUGUUUAGACUUUAUCAGCUAACUGUUUAGUUUUGAGCUUUUCUUUAAUGCACUUUUCAGUUAACAAGUCAACAUCAAUUUCUUUUGCUGUAAAAAAGCUUGAGGAAGGUGGCUUGAGAUUCGUCUUAAGUGUUUAUAGCCUCUUGCCUAUGCAGUCGGAGAGAUUGAGGUCUGCAGCGUAGAUCCUUCGGGGCUAAAUGCAUUUGUGCUAAGUUAUAGCAUUUUAUAGACAACUUGUUGACUAUGAUUUGUCUUGUAGCUUACUCGCUUAUGUUAUUUUACCUACGCUUAGGAUGUUGAGCGCAUGUCUCUCUCU